AUAUACCGAAGAAUUUAAAUUUUCGGUUAAAUAUAUUUUAACUCAACUACUCAUUAGUGCAUUUAACGACUAAAUAACGUAUACUUUUGGUAUUUAUUGUUGUAUACAUAAAAUAUAGGAAAAGGAAAAUUAUAUUUAGCUGCCAAAAAUGUGUCCAUGUUAUACUUAUGGUAUUUUUCAGCUUCGAUUCGAAGCACAUGAUAGCACAUCAUUUAGAUUUUGGAAUAAUCCACUAAUUUUUUAAAAUUAAACACUAUCUAAAGAUUUGCAUCGAAGCGUUUUUUUUAUAGUGACUUUAAACACUGUCAGAUAUCAUUAUGCUUGGCCCAACUAUGUCACGUCACCACUGUGAGCCAUCCCUCUGUGGUGGGGAGCACAAUGGAUUAUUGAAUCACUGCUUUAGUGCUAAUGCCCUGCACUGUCGCUGUUUAUUGCCGGAUAGUUGACCAUACGGAAACAAUAAUAGUAACACACACUUUGCUGGCUCCCUUGGCCAUCAUGAGAUUGGGACAGGUGACAACCAGAGAAAAAAUUCCGUAAGACCAUUUGUAAGAAUACUCCUGUAUAUAACAGCACACAAUUUCUGGAAAUACUUAAAAAUAUUCCUGAAGAACAUCCUGAAAAUAUCUUACCCGUCUAUUUCAAUGACAAUGGUGAUUUAGUUGAAUUCCCCGAUAAUGAAUUGGGAAUUCAAUACUAUGACGAUGAAUUUUAUAGUGUUUUAACUCAAGGAACAUAUGGACUUUGUUAUCGCGUUAUUGAUGACCGGGCAAGCCCCGAUCUUUUUCCUGAAAUUAAUGAUGUGUCUAAUAGUUAUUAUUCUGUACCAAGAAACGAAUCUCCUCAAGAAAUGGAUACAUCAAAUCUAUGGGUUUAAUUCAGAUGUGAAUUACAUUUUAUGGCGGGCAAUAGAGUCCAACAAUUAUUUGUAAAAAUUAGUAUUUUGUGUGUAAAUUUUAUGUAGAAUUUUCAAUUAUGUUAAGCCAAAUAUUAAUAAUAUUGUUUUUAUGUUAAGUCAAAAAAUGUACAAUCUUUAUAUUUUGUUUUUAAUAAAAUAAUAAUAUAUACAUAAAACCUCAUAUGUCUUAUCAUUUAAAAUAAAAAAAAUAAAUUAACAAUGGUACCUAAUAUCAUAUCCUACACAAUAUUCUACAAGCGUUGUAUUAAUGGUGGUUUUAAGUAUGUAGAGAGGGUAACAAAAAUAGUGGUGUCUGCACACACACACACACACACGCACAGACACCCACGCACACACCCCUUCAUCGAAACUAUAUAACCCGCCAGUGUAUG